rnacentral:rRNA from 1 species
AACGAACGCUGGCGGCAUGCCUAAUACAUGCAAGUCGAACGAGACCUUCGGGUCUAGUGGCGCACGGGUGCGUAACGCGUGGGAAUCUGCCCUUGGGUUCGGAAUAACAGCUGGAAACGGCUGCUAAUACCGGAUGAUGACGUAAGUCCAAAGAUUUAUCGCCCAAGGAUGAGCCCGCGUAGGAUUAGCUAGUUGGUGGGGUAAAGGCCUACCAAGGCGACGAUCCUUAGCUGGUCUGAGAGGAUGAUCAGCCACCCUGGGACUGAGACACGGCCCAGACUCCUACGGGAGGCAGCAGUAGGGAAUAUUGGACAAUGGGGGCAACCCUGAUCCAGCAAUGCCGCGUGAGUGAUGAAGGCCUUAGGGUUGUAAAGCUCUUUUACCAGAGAUGAUAAUGACAGUAUCUGGGGAAUAAGCCCCGGCUAACUCCGUGCCAGCCGCCGCCGUAAGAC